rnacentral:rRNA from 1 species
GAUGAACGCGUGGCGGCGUGCCUAACACAUGCAAGUCGAACGAAGGCAAUUAAAUGAAGUUUCGGAUGGAUUUGAAUUGACUGAGUGGCGGACGGGUGAGUAACGCGUGGGUAACCUGCCUCAUACAGGGGGAUAACAGUUAGAAAUGACUGCUAAUACCGCAUAAGCGCACGGAUUCGCAUGAAUCUGUGUGAAAAACUCCGGUGGUGUGAGAUGGACCCGCGUCUGAUUAGCUGGUUGGUGGGGUAACGGCCUACCAAGGCGACGAUCGGUAGCCGACCUGAGAGGGUGAUCGGCCACAUUGGAACUGAGAGACGGUCCAA